UGCUCAUCUGGAACAGCUGUGGACCUUACCUGCACAGAUCCUGAUGAUGUCAGACUGGUGGGAGGAGCCAGUCGCUGUAACGGUGAAGUACAGAUCAAACAUCAUGGAGAAUGGAGAGACGUGGAAUAUUAUGACCCUUUCACCCUGAAGGCAGCAGAUGUCAUAUGUCGUCGACUGGACUGUGGAUCUGCUGUUUCUGGGAGAACAUCUGAUCCAUCUGAUUCAUCUGAUCCUGUGUGGAUCAUCAGCCCCUCCUGUCUCCUCUCUACAUCUGCACCGACGGACUGUGUGACAACAGAUUCUGGGUUCUCUGACUCCGCCCUGUCCCUCACCUGUUCAGCCUCCAACGAUUACCUGUGUGUUUGACCCAUCGCCUGGAUUACUGACCUCUGGGUGCCGUUAGGAUUAUUCCGGCUCGGCCACGCUGGCCGACCGUUGACCCCGUCCACAGCCCAGACGUCUAGCCCCGAACUCAGCGUCUUCACAGAUUUAUUAAUCAUUCUGUGUUGUGCUUUAACCUUUGUGACGGUGCUCAAUAAACACACCAACUUUACGUCUGUCUUCUGGCCUUGCAUUUGGGUUCAGCCUUUGUACCAG